GUGUUUGCUUUGGCAUCACAUAUACUAAAAUUGGAAUGACACCAAGAGUAUUAGCAUGGCCUCUCCACUAGAUGGCACAAAAAUUGGUGAAAAGUUUGCAAUUUUU
ensembl:snRNA U6 U6 spliceosomal RNA